GACAGAGGUGGCAAGCGUUGUUCGGAAUUACUGGGCUUAAAGGGCGCGUAGGCGGCAGGGUAAGUCUAAUGUGGAAUCUUGGGGCUCAACCCCAAAACUGCACUGGAAACUGCUUUGCUUGAGUCAGUAAGGGGAGGGCGGAAUUCCCGGUGUAGCAGUGAAAUGCGUAGAUAUCGGGAGGAAGGCCGGUGGCGAAGGCGGCCCUCUGGUGCUUGACUGACGCUGAGGCGCGAAAGCGUGGGUAGCAAACAGG
rnacentral:rRNA from 1 species